rnacentral:tRNA from 1 species
GGGGGUGUCGGUUAAUUGGUUAAACCAUCGGUCUCCAAAACCGAGACUCCAGGUUCGAGUCCUGGCGCCCCCGCCA